rnacentral:lncRNA from 1 species
GAGAUGCUUAUUAAGAGACCAUGUAAAGUAAAAACUAUUCACCUUCUCACCUCUCUGGAUGAAGGCAUUGAGCAAGUGCAGCAAAGUAGAGGCCUGCAAGAAAUAGAAGAGUCACUCAGGAGUCACGGAGUGCUGUUGGAAGUUCAAUACUCUUCUUCAAUACAUGACCGAGAAAUUAGGUUCAACAAUGGAUGGAUGAUUAAGAUUGGAAGGGGACUUGAUUAUUUUAAGAAACCACAGACAGGAUUUCACCAUGUUGCCCAGGCUGGUCUCAAACUCCUGGGCUCAAGCAGUCCUCCCACCUUGGCCUCCCAAAGUGCUGGGAUUACAGGCAUGAGCCACUGCACUCAGCCACAUUACCUAUAUCUUAAAGCCAAAUUAUGUUGAAUUCACAAGUAACAAAUGUUCAUCGAGAAAAAUGAGAAAAUACAGACAAGCAAGAAGAAAAAAAUAAAAGCAUUGAUAGUCCUAAUCACAAUUAA